AUUGAACGCUGGCGGCAGGCUUAACACAUGCAAGUCGAGCGGCCGAGGUUGCGUCGGUAACUGAGCUAGCGGCGGACGGGUGAGUAAAGCUUAGGAAUCUGCCUAUUAGUGGGGGACAACAUUCCGAAAGGGAUGCUAAUACCGCAUACGUACUACGGGAGAAAACAGGGGAUCACGUGUGACGUUGCGCUACUAGAUGAGCCUAAGUCGGAUUAGCUAGUUGGUGGGGUAAAGGCCUACCAAGGCGACGAUCUGUAGCGGGUCUGAGAGGAUGAUCGGGCACACUGGGACUGAGAAACGGCCCAGACUCCUACGGGAGGCAGCAGUGGGGAAUAUUGGACAAUGGGGGGAACCCUGAUCCAGCCAUGCCGCGUGUGUGAAGAAGGCCUUUUGGUUGUAAAGCACUUUAAGCGAGGAGGAGGCUUACCUGGUUAAUACCUGGGAUAAGUGGACGUUACUCGCAGAAUAAGCACCGGCUAACUCUGUGCCAGCCGCCGCAGUAAAAC
rnacentral:rRNA from 1 species